AUUGCUGUCAUCACGCCAAUACCUCCAACUUUUUUUUCUCCAACAAAAGUUUACCUGGCAGCCAUAGUGACCUAAGGUCAUAGCAGAGCACAUGGCUGUAAAGCAAGAUGACUUGUGAGAUCAAAAAAAUAGGUACAGAGCCAUUGUGACAGUGACCAGGAAGUACUCAGUUUCAGGCUUUUUGUUGUGGAGACCUUUGACGACGCGAUCGGAUGUCCAGCUCAUGGGCUGUGUUUACUCAGAGCUGUAGAUGGUUAUUAGUUGGCCAGAGAGGCGGCCAUUCCCCCUCCAACACAAACCUCCUUUCAUCUCCAGUGCAUCAGGGCACAGAUGACACUGUGGCUCCGCGCCAGCU